rfam:Nelumbo nucifera unplaced genomic scaffold scaffold00002, whole genome shotgun sequence
GCCCGUCUAGCUCAGUCGAUAGAGCGCAAGGCUCUUAACCUUGUGGUCGUGGGUUCGAGCGCCAUGGUGGGCG